GUACACGCUGUGACUAGCAUAUCAAUAAGCGGAGGAAAAGAAACUAACAAGGAUUCCCUAGUAACGGCGAGUGAAGCGGGAAGAGCUCAAAUUUGAAAUCUUCAAGGUUUUACCUUGACGAAUUGUAGUUUAAAGAAGUGUUUUCUGCUGAAGUUUUGGUAAAAGUUCUUUGGAAUAGGACAUCAUAGAGGGUGAGAAUCCCGUAUUUGACCAUUAUUUUCAGCUUUGUGAUACACUUUCAAAGAGUCGGAUUGUUUGGGAAUGCAGUCCAAAAUGGGUGGUAAAUUUCAUCUAAAGCUAAAUAUUGGCGAGAGACCGAUAGCGAACAAGUACCGUGAGGGAAAGAUGAAAAGAACUUUGAAAAGAGAGUUAAACAGUACGUGAAAUUGUCAAAAGGGAAGCGUUUGACACCAGUGUUGUUUUCUCGAAAGUCAAUUAAAAAUGGCUCGAUUUUGUAUUGCUUGAGACCUUAAAAGCUCACUGUACAUUUUUCGUGUCUUUUUUAAUGCACUUUUCGUUUAACAAGUCAACAUCAGUUUCUUUUGUUGUAAAAGGGUCAUUGGAAGGUGGCUUUCUUUUCGGAGAAAGUGUUUAUAGCCUUUGAUCUCUGCAAUCGGAGAGACUGAGGUCUGCAGCGUAGACUCUUCGGGGUUAGAUACAUUUGUGCUAAGUUAUAGCUUUUCAUAGACAACUUGUUGACUAUAAUUAGUCAUGUAGCUUACUCGCUUAUGCUAUUUUACCUACGCUUAGGAUGUUGAACUACUGAGACAUAGA
rnacentral:rRNA from 1 species